GAUGAACGCUGGCGGCGUGCCUAAUACAUGCGAGUCGAGCGAACAGACGAGGAGCUUGCUCCUCUGACGUUAGCGGCGGACGGGUGAGUAACACGUGGAUAACCUACCUAUAAGACUGGGAUAACUUCGGGAAACCGGAGCUAAUUCCGGAUAAUAUAUUGAACCGCAUGGUUCAAUAGUGAAAGACGGUUUUGCUGUCACUUAUAGAUGGAUCCGCGCCGCAUUAGCUAGUUGGUAAGGUAACGGCUUACCAAGGCAACGAUGCGUAGCCGACCUGAGAGGGUGAUCGGCCACACUGGAACUGAGACACGGUCCAGACUCCUACGGGAGGCAGCAGUAGGGAAUCUUCCGCAAUGGGCGAAAGCCUGACGGAGCAACGCCGCGUGAGUGAUGAAGGUCUUCGGAUCGUAAAACUCUGUUAUUAGGGAAGAACAAAUGUGUAAGUAACUAUGCACGUCUUGACGGUACCUAAUCAGAAAGCCACGGCUAACUACGUG
rnacentral:rRNA from 1 species